GCGUAUCAAACCUUAAACGAACACGUACUAUUGACAAACAUCACGUCUGGGAAGUUGGGCACUACAUCAAGCUAGUGUGAACUCAUACCAAGCACAUCGAACAUCAUGAGAGAAUCGUUUCCUCUGUUUACGUCUCCCCUUAAUUUUAAGAAAAAUGCACGCGUUUACUGACAUGUAGAGGUGGUGAGAUCUUGUCUAUUGAAUGUUAUAAUAGUAAGCUGGAU
rnacentral:lncRNA from 1 species